rnacentral:rRNA from 1 species
AGAGCGAACGCUGGCGGCAGGCCUAACACAUGCAAGUCGAGCGCCCCGCAAGGGGAGCGGCAGACGGGAGAGUAACACGUGGGAACGUACCCUUUGGUUCGGAACAACCCAGGGAAACUUGGGCUAAUACCGAAUAAGCCCUUACGGGGAAAGAUUUAUCGCCAAAGGAUCGGCCCGCGUCUGAUUAGCUAGUUGGUGAGGUAACGGCUCACCAAGGCGACGAUCAGUAGCUGGUCUGAGAGGAUGAUCAGCCUCACUGGGACUGAGACACGGCCCAGACUCCUACGGGAGGCAGCAGUGGGGAAUAUUGGACAAUGGGCGCAAGCCUGAUCCAGCCAUGCCGCGUGGGUGAUGAAGGCCCUAGGGUUGUAAAGCCCUUUCGGCGGGGAAGAGUAAUGACGGUACCCGCAGAAGAAGCCCCGGCUAACUUCGUGCCAGCAGCCGC